rnacentral:pre_miRNA from 1 species
AAUCCGGGGAGAGGGUCAAGCAAGAAUUCCGGCUUGGCCGUUUCUUCGGUUUGC